rnacentral:rRNA from 1 species
CUACGGGACGCUCCAGUGGGGAAUAUUGGGCAAUGGGCGCAAGCCUGACCCAGCAACGCCGCGUGAGGGAAGAAGGUUUUCGGAUUGUAAACCUCUGUCCUUGGGGACGAAGAAGUGACGGUACCCAAGGAGGAAGCUCCGGCUAACUACGUGCCAGCAGCCGCGGUAAUACGUAGGGAGCAAGCGUUGUCCGGAAUUACUGGGCGUAAGGGUGCGUAGGCGGCAUAUUAAGUCAGGUGUGAAAUACUCGGGCUCAACCCGGGGGCUGCAUUUGAAACUGAUAUGCUUGAGUGUGAGAGAGGAAAGUGGAAUUCCUAGUGUAGCGGUGGAAUGCGUAGAUAUUAGGAGGAACACCAGUGGCGAAGGCGACUUUCUGGCUCAUAACUGACGCUGAGGCACGAAAGCGUGGGGAGCAAACAGGAUUAGAUACCCGAGUAGUC